UAAGCGACUAAGCGUACACGGUGGAUGCCCUGGCAGUCAGAGGCGAUGAAGGACGUGCUAAUCUGCGAUAAGCGUCGGUAAGGUGAUAUGAACCGUUAUAACCGGCGAUUUCCGAAUGGGGAAACCCAGUGUGAUUCGUCACACUAUCAUUAACUGAAUCCAUAGGUUAAUGAGGCGAACCGGGGGAACUGAAACAUCUAAGUACCCCGAGGAAAAGAAAUCAACCGAGAUUCCCCCAGUAGCGGCGAGCGAACGGGGAGCAGCCCAGAGCCUGAAUCAGUGUGUGUGUUAGUGGAAGCGUCUGGAAAGGCGUGCGAUACAGGGUGACAGCCCCGUACACAAAAAUGCACAUACUGUGAGCUCGAUGAGUAGGGCGGGACACGUGGUAUCCUGUCUGAAUAUGGGGGGACCAUCCUCCAAGGCUAAAUACUCCUGACUGACCGAUAGUGAACCAGUACCGUGAGGGAAAGGCGAAAAGAACCCCGGCGAGGGGAGUGAAAAAGAACCUGAAACCGUGUACGUACAAGCAGUGGGAGCACGCUUAGGCGUGUGACUGCGUACCUUUUGUAUAAUGGGUCAGCGACUUAUAUUCUGUAGCAAGGUUAACCGAAUAGGGGAGCCGAAGGGAAACCGAGUCUUAACUGGGCGUUAAGUUGCAGGGUAUAGACCCGAAACCCGGUGAUCUAGCCAUGGGCAGGUUGAAGGUUGGGUAACACUAACUGGAGGACCGAACCGACUAAUGUUGAAAAAUUAGCGGAUGACUUGUGGCUGGGGGUGAAAGGCCAAUCAAACCGGGAGAUAGCUGGUUCUCCCCGAAAGCUAUUUAGGUAGCGCCUCGUGAAUUCAUCUCCGGGGGUAGAGCACUGUUUCGGCAAGGGGGUCAUCCCGACUUACCAACCCGAUGCAAACUGCGAAUACCGGAGAAUGUUAUCACGGGAGACACACGGCGGGUGCUAACGUCCGUCGUGAAGAGGGAAACAACCCAGACCGCCAGCUAAGGUCCCAAAGUCAUGGUUAAGUGGGAAACGAUGUGGGAAGGCCCAGACAGCCAGGAUGUUGGCUUAGAAGCAGCCAUCAUUUAAAGAAAGCGUAAUAGCUCACUGGUCGAGUCGGCCUGCGCGGAAGAUGUAACGGGGCUAAACCAUGCACCGAAGCUGCGGCAGCGACGCUUAUGCGUUGUUGGGUAGGGGAGCGUUCUGUAAGCCUGUGAAGGUGUACUGUGAGGUAUGCUGGAGGUAUCAGAAGUGCGAAUGCUGACAUAAGUAACGAUAAAGCGGGUGAAAAGCCCGCUCGCCGGAAGACCAAGGGUUCCUGUCCAACGUUAAUCGGGGCAGGGUGAGUCGACCCCUAAGGCGAGGCCGAAAGGCGUAGUCGAUGGGAAACAGGUUAAUAUUCCUGUACUUGGUGUUACUGCGAAGGGGGGACGGAGAAGGCUAUGUUGGCCGGGCGACGGUUGUCCCGGUUUAAGCGUGUAGGCUGGUUUUCCAGGCAAAUCCGGAAAAUCAAGGCCGAGGCGUGAUGACGAGGCACUACGGUGCUGAAGCAACAAAUGCCCUGCUUCCAGGAAAAGCCUCUAAGCAUCAGGUAACAUCAAAUCGUACCCCAAACCGACACAGGUGGUCAGGUAGAGAAUACCAAGGCGCUUGAGAGAACUCGGGUGAAGGAACUAGGCAAAAUGGUGCCGUAACUUCGGGAGAAGGCACGCUGAUACGUAGGUGAAGCGACUUGCUCGUGGAGCUGAAAUCAGUCGAAGAUACCAGCUGGCUGCAACUGUUUAUUAAAAACACAGCACUGUGCAAACACGAAAGUGGACGUAUACGGUGUGACGCCUGCCCGGUGCCGGAAGGUUAAUUGAUGGGGUUAGCGCAAGCGAAGCUCUUGAUCGAAGCCCCGGUAAACGGCGGCCGUAACUAUAACGGUCCUAAGGUAGCGAAAUUCCUUGUCGGGUAAGUUCCGACCUGCACGAAUGGCGUAAUGAUGGCCAGGCUGUCUCCACCCGAGACUCAGUGAAAUUGAACUCGCUGUGAAGAUGCAGUGUACCCGCGGCAAGACGGAAAGACCCCGUGAACCUUUACUAUAGCUUGACACUGAACAUUGAGCCUUGAUGUGUAGGAUAGGUGGGAGGCUUUGAAGUGUGGACGCCAGUCUGCAUGGAGCCGACCUUGAAAUACCACCCUUUAAUGUUUGAUGUUCUAACGUGGACCCGUGAUCCGGGUUGCGGACAGUGUCUGGUGGGUAGUUUGACUGGGGCGGUCUCCUCCUAAAGAGUAACGGAGGAGCACGAAGGUUGGCUAAUCCUGGUCGGACAUCAGGAGGUUAGUGCAAUGGCAUAAGCCAGCUUGACUGCGAGCGUGACGGCGCGAGCAGGUGCGAAAGCAGGUCAUAGUGAUCCGGUGGUUCUGAAUGGAAGGGCCAUCGCUCAACGGAUAAAAGGUACUCCGGGGAUAACAGGCUGAUACCGCCCAAGAGUUCAUAUCGACGGCGGUGUUUGGCACCUCGAUGUCGGCUCAUCACAUCCUGGGGCUGAAGUAGGUCCCAAGGGUAUGGCUGUUCGCCAUUUAAAGUGGUACGCGAGCUGGGUUUAGAACGUCGUGAGACAGUUCGGUCCCUAUCUGCCGUGGGCGCUGGAGAACUGAGGGGGGCUGCUCCUAGUACGAGAGGACCGGAGUGGACGCAUCACUGGUGUUCGGGUUGUCAUGCCAAUGGCACUGCCCGGUAGCUAAAUGCGGAAGAGAUAAGUGCUGAAAGCAUCUAAGCACGAAACUUGCCCCGAGAUGAGUUCUCCCUGACCCUUUAAGGGUCCUGAAGGAACGUUGAAGACGACGACGUUGAUAGGCCGGGUGUGUAAGCGCAGCGAUGCGUUGAGCUAACCGGUACUAAUGAACCGUGAGGCUUAACCU
rnacentral:rRNA from 1 species